AUCCGACUGACGAGUCCCAAAUAGGACGAAAUACGUAUCCUGAGU
rnacentral:hammerhead_ribozyme from 1 species